UACGGAGGGGGCUAGGCGUUGUUCGGAAUUACUGGGCGUAAAGCGCGCGUAGGCGGACCUGCAAGUCGGGGGUGAAAGCCCGAGGCUCAACCUCGGGAACUGCCUUCGAUACUUGCGGGUCUCGAGUCCGGGAGAGGUGAGUGGAAUUCCGAGUGUAGAGGUGAAAUUCGUAGAUACUCGGAGGAACACCAGUGGCGAAGGCGGACUCACUGGUCCAUUACGUGACGCUGAGGUG
rnacentral:rRNA from 1 species